UUCUGGUUGAUCCUGCCGGACCCCACUGCUAUCGGGGUGGGACUAAGCCAUGCAAGUCGAAGGUCCCCGGCUCCGGGGGCCUGGCAGACGGCUCAGUAACACGUGGCCAACCUGCCCUCGGGAGGGGGAUAACCCCGGGAAACUGGGGUUAAACCCCCAUAGGCGGCGAGAUCUGGAAGGACUUGCCGCUGAAAGUGGUGUACGGGGAUGCUCCGUGCACCAGCCCGAGGAUGGGGCUGCGGCCCAUCAGGUUGUUGGCGGAGUAACGGCCCGCCAAGCCUAUAACGGGUACGGGCCCUGAGAGGGGGAGCCCGGAGAUGGGCUCUGAGACAAGAGCCCAGGCCCUACGGGGCGCAGCAGGCGCGAAACCUCCCCAAUGCCCGAAAGGGUGAGGGGGUCACCCCGAGUGCCGGCCUCGUGCCGGCUUUUGCCGGGUCUAAAUAGCCCGGCGAAUAAGGGGGGGGCAAGACGGGUGUCAGCCGCCGCGGUAAUACCCGCCCCCCGAGUGGUGGGGACUAUUACUGGGCUUAAAGCGCCCGUAGCCGGCCGGGUGUGUCCUCCGUCAAAUCCACGGGCCUAACCCGUGGGCUGCGGAGGAUACUACCCGGCUUGGGGGUGGAAGAGGGCGGCGGUAUUCCCGGGGUAGGGGUAAAAUCCUCUGAUCCCGGGAGGACCACCAGUGGCGAAGGCGGCCGCCCAGGACACGCCCGACGGUGAGGGGCGAAAGCUGGGGGAGCAAACGGGAUUAGAUACCCCGGUAGUCCCAGCUGUAAACGAUGCGGGCUAGGUGUCGGGUGGGCUACGGGCUCACCCGGUGCCGAAGGGAAACCAUUAAGCCCGCCGCCUGGGGAGUACGGCCGCAAGGCUGAAACUUAAAGGAAUUGGCGGGGGAGCACCACAAGGGGUGGACGUUGCGGCUUAAUUGGAGUCAACGCCGGAAACCUUACCGGGGGCGACGGCAGGAUGAUGGACAGGUUGAAGGCCUUUCCGGACGAGCCGAGAGGAGGUGCAUGGCCGUCGCCGGUGCGUGCCGUGAGGUGUCCUGUUAAUUCAGGCAACGGACGAGACCCCCGCCCCCAGUUGCCAUCGGGCCGAAAGGCGCCGGGCACUCUGGGGGGACUGCCGCCGAAAGGCGGAGGAAGGAGGGGGCUACGGCAGGUCAGUAUGCCCCGAAUCCCCCGGGCCGCACGCGACGUUCAAUGGCCGGGACAGAGGGUUGCGACCCCGAAAGGGGGAGCCAAUCCCUAAACCCGGCCGUAGUUGGGAUCGAGGGUUGCAACUCGCCCUCGUGAACGAGGAAUCCCUAGUAACCGCGCGUUAAAACCGCGCGGUGAAUACGUCCCUGCUCCUUGCACACACUGCCCGUCGCUCCACCCGAGCUGGGCCUGGGUGAGGCCCACUCCUCCGUGGGUGGGUCGAACCAUGGGCCCGGUGAGGGGGGAGAAGUCGUAACAAGGUAUCCGUA
rnacentral:rRNA from 1 species